rfam:Helianthus annuus linkage group 12, whole genome shotgun sequence.
GGGAAAUGAGGAGUGGUCAAUGCUUGCAUUUAAAUAUGCAAGAUGGGGUGUCCGCCCAAAGCCUGUUACGACAAUUGGGCACCUCCAAAUUUAAGCCAUCUGAUCCC